rnacentral:rRNA from 1 species
AUUGAACGCUGGCGGCAUGCCUAACACAUGCAAGUCGAACGGAAACGAUGGGAGCUUGCUCCCAGGCGUCGAGUGGCGGACGGGUGAGUAAUACUUAGGAAUCUGCCCAGUAGUGGGGGACAACUCGGGGAAACUCGAGCUAAUACCGCAUACGCACUACGGUGGAAAGUGGGGGAUCUUCGGACCUCACGCUAUUGGAUGAGCCUAAGUCGGAUUAGCUUGUUGGUAGGGUAAAGGCCUACCAAGGCGACGAUCCGUAGCUGGUCUGAGAGGACGAUCAGCCACACUGGGACUGAGACACGGCCCAGACUCCUACGGGAGGCAGCAGUGGGGAAUAUUGGACAAUGGGGGCAACCCUGAUCCAGCAAUGCCGCGUGUGUGAAGAAGGCCUGCGGGUUGUAAAGCACUUUCAGUAGAGAAGAAAAGCUUACGGUUAAUACCUGUGAGUCUUGACGUAACCUACAGAAGAAGCACCGGCUAACUCCGUG